rnacentral:rRNA from 1 species
AAGGAAUAUUGGUCAAUGGACGCAAGUCUGAACCAGCCAUGCCGCGUGAAGGAUGAAGGUCCUCUGGAUUGUAAACUUCUUUUAUCUGGGACGAAAACGGGAUUUUUAUCUCAAUUGACGGUACCAGAGGAAUAAGCACCGGCUAACUCCGUGCCAGCAGCCGCGGUCAUACGGAGGGUGCGAGCGUUAUCCGGAUUUACUGGGUUUAAAGGGUGCGUAGGUGGGCUUAUAAGUCAGUGGUGAAAUCUCCGAGCUUAACUUGGAAACUGCCGUUGAUACUAUAGGUCUUGAAUUAUCUGGAGGUAAGCGGAAUAUGUCAUGUAGCGGUGAAAUGCUUAGAUAUGACAUAGAACACCAAUUGCGAAGGCAGCUUACUACAUAUAAAUUGACGCUGAGGCACGAAAGCGUGGGGAUCAAACA